rnacentral:rRNA from 1 species
UAAGCGGAGGAAAAGAAACUAACAAGGAUUCCCCCAGUAGCGGCGAGCGAACAGGGAAGAGUCCAGCACCGAACCCCGCAGGAUGCCGCCUGUCGUGGCAUGUGGUGUUUGGGAGGGUCCACUACCCCGACGCCUCGCGCCGAGCCCAAGUCCAACUUGAAUGAGGCCACGGCCCGUAGAGGGUGCCAGGCCCGUAGCGGCCGGUGCGAGCGUCGGCGGGACCUCUCCUUCGAGUCGGGUUGCUUGAGAGUGCAGCUCCAAGUGGGUGGUAAACUCCAUCUGAGACUAAAUAUGACCACGAGACCGAUAGCGAACAAGUACCGUGAGGGAAAGUUGAAAAGAACUUUGAAGAGAGAGUUCAAAAGUACGUGAAACCGUUCUGGGGUAAACGUGAGAAGUCCGAAAGGUCGAACGGGUGAGAUUCACGCCCAUCCGGCCACUGGCUCCCGCCCUCGGCAGAUGGGGCCGGCCGCCCGCGCGGAGCAAUCCGCGGCGGGGUCGUGUCCGGUUGCCUUUCCACUCGCCGCGAGGUGGGGCCGUUCCGGUGUGCGGUGGGCCGCACUUCUCCCCUAGUAGGACGUCGCGACCCGCUGGGUGCCGGCCUACGGCCCGGGUGCGCAGCCUGUCCUUCCGCGGGCCUCGGUUCGCGUCUGUUGGGCAGAGCCCCGGUGUCCUGGCUGGCUGCUCGGCGGUAUAUCUGGAGGAGUCGAUUCGCCCCUUUGGGCGCUCGGGCUCCCGGCAAGCGCGCGCGGUUCUUCCCGGAUGACGGACCUACCUGGCCCGGCCCCGGACCCGCGCCGCUGUUGGCUCGGGAUGCUCUCGGGCGGAAUAAUCGCUCCCGUCAGCGGCGCUUCAGCUUUGGACAAUUUCACGACCCGUCUUGAAACACGGACCAAGGAGUCUAACAUGUGCGCGAGUCAUUGGGCUGUACGAAACCUAAAGGCGUAAUGAAAGUGAAGGUCUCGCCAUGCGCGGGCCGAGGGAGGAUGGGGCUUCCCCGCCCCUCACGGGGCGGCGGCCUCCGCACUCCCGGGGCGUCUCGUCCUCAUUGCGAGGUGAGGCGCACCUAGAGCGUACACGUUGGGACCCGAAAGAUGGUGAACUAUGCCUGGCCAGGACGAAGUCAGGGGAAACCCUGAUGGAGGUCCGUAGCGAUUCUGACGUGCAAAUCGAUCGUCGGAGCUGGGUAUAGGGGCGAAAGACUAAUCGAACCAUCUAGUAGCUGGUUCCCUCCGAAGUUUCCCUCAGGAUAGCUGGUGCUCGUACGAGUCUCAUCCGGUAAAGCGAAUGAUUAGAGGCCUUGGGGCCGAAACGACCUCAACCUAUUCUCAAACUUUAAAUGGGUGAGAUCUCCGGCUUGCUUGAUAUGCUGAAGCCGCGAGCAAACGACUCGGAUCGGAGUGCCAAGUGGGCCACUUUUGGUAAGCAGAACUGGCGCUGUGGGAUGAACCAAACGCCGAGUUAAGGCGCCCGAAUCGACGCUCAUGGGAAACCAUGAAAGGCGUUGGUUGCUUAAGACAGCAGGACGGUGGCCAUGGAAGUCGGAAUCCGCUAAGGAGUGUGUAACAACUCACCUGCCGAAGCAACUAGCCCUGAAAAUGGAUGGCGCUGAAGCGUCGUGCCUAUACUCGGCCGUCAGUCUGGCAGUCACGGCCGGUCCUUGCGGCCGGCCGCGAAGCCCUGACGAGUAGGAGGGUCGCGGCGGUGGGCGCAGAAGGGUCUGGGCGUGAGCCUGCCUGGAGCCGCCGUCGGUGCAGAUCUUGGUGGUAGUAGCAAAUACUCCAGCGAGGCCCUGGAGGGCUGACGCGGAGAAGGGUUUCGUGUGAACAGCCGUUGCACACGAGUCAGUCGAUCCUAAGCCCUAGGAGAAAUCCGAUGUUGAUGGGGGCCGUCAUAGCAUGAUGCACUUUGUGCUGGCCCCCGUUGGGCGAAAGGGAAUCCGGUUCCUAUUCCGGAACCCGGCAGCGGAACCGAUACAAGUCGGGCCCCUCUUUUAGAGAUGCUCGUCGGGGUAACCCAAAAGGACCCGGAGACGCCGUCGGGAGAUCGGGGAAGAGUUUUCUUUUCUGCAUGAGCGUUCGAGUUCCCUGGAAUCCUCUAGCAGGGAGAUAGGGUUUGGAACGCGAAGAGCACCGCAGUUGCGGCGGUGUCCCGAUCUUCCCCUCGGACCUUGAAAAUCCGGGAGAGGGCCACGUGGAGGUGUCGCGCCGGUUCGUACCCAUAUCCGCAGC